rnacentral:rRNA from 1 species
UACGUAGGGUCCGAGCGUUGUCCGGAAUUAUUGGGCGUAAAGGGCUCGUAGGCGGUUUGUCGCGUCGGGAGUGAAAACGCCGGGCUUAACCCGGUGCUUGCUUUCGAUACGGGCAGACUGGAGGUAUGCAGGGGAGAACGGAAUUCCUGGUGUAGCGGUGAAAUGCGCAGAUAUCAGGAGGAACACCGGUGGCGAAGGCGGGUCUCUGGGCAGUAACUGACGCUGAGGAGCGAAAGCGUGGGGAGCGAACAGG